rnacentral:rRNA from 1 species
GACGAACGCUGGCGGCGUGCUUAACACAUGCAAGUCGAACGGAAAGGCCCUGCUUUUGUGGGGUGCUCGAGUGGCGAACGGGUGAGUAACACGUGAGUAACCUGCCCUUGACUUUGGGAUAACUUCAGGAAACUGGGGCUAAUACCGGAUAGGAGCUCCUGCUGCAUGGUGGGGGUUGGAAAGUUUCGGCGGUUGGGGAUGGACUCGCGGCUUAUCAGCUUGUUGGUGGGGUAGUGGCUUACCAAGGCUUUGACGGGUAGCCGGCCUGAGAGGGUGACCGGCCACAUUGGGACUGAGAUACGGCCCAGACUCCUACGGGAGGCAGCAGUGGGGAAUAUUGCACAAUGGGCGGAAGCCUGAUGCAGCAACGCCGCGUGCGGGAUGACGGCCUUCGGGUUGUAAACCGCUUUCGCCUGUGACGAAGCGUGAGUGACGGUAAUGGGUAAAGAAGCACCGGCUAACUACGUGCCAGCAGCCGCGGUGAUACGUAGGGUGCGAGCGUUGUCCGGAUUUAUUGGGCGUAAAGGGCUCGUAGGUGGUUGAUCGCGUCGGAAGUGUAAUCUUGGGGCUUAACCCUGAGCGUGCUUUCGAUACGGGUUGACUUGAGGAAGGUAGGGGAGAAUGGAAUUCCUGGUGGAGCGGUGGAAUGCGCAGAUAUCAGGAGGAACAUCAGUGGCGAAGGCGGUUCUCUGGGCCUUUCCUGACGCUGAGGAGCGAAAGCGUGGGGAGCGAACAGGCUUAGAUACCCUGGUAGUCCACGCUGUAAACGGUGGGUACUAGGUGUGGGGUCCAUUCCACGGGUUCCGUGCCGUAGCUAACGCUUUAAGUACCCCGCCUGGGGAGUACGGCCGCAAGGCUAAAACUCAAAGGAAUUGACGGGGCCCCGCACAAGCGGCGGAGCAUGCGGAUUAAUUCGAUGCAACGCGUAGAACCUUACCUGGGUUUGACAUGGAUCGGGAGUGCUCAGAGAUGGGUGUGCUUCUUUUGGGGUCGGUUCACAGGUGGUGCAUGGCUGUCGUCAACUCGUGUCGUGAGAUGUUGGGUUAAGUCCCGCAACGAGCGCAACCCUUGUUCACUGUUGCCAGCACGUUAUGGUGGGGACUCAGUGGAGACCGCCGGGGUCAACUCGGAGGAAGGUGGGGAUGACGUCAAGUCAUCAUGCCCCUUAUGUCCAGGGCUUCACGCAUGCUACAAUGGCUGGUACAGAGAGUGGCGAGCCUGUGAGGGUGAGCGAAUCUCGGAAAGCCGGUCUCAGUUCGGAUUGGGGUCUGCAACUCGACCUCAUGAAGUCGGAGUCGCUAGUAAUCGCAGAUCAGCAACGCUGCGGUGAAUACGUUCCCGGG